GAUGAACGCUAGCGGCAGGCCUAACACAUGCAAGUCGAGGGGUAGAGGAAGCUUGCUUCCUUGAGACCGGCGCACGGGUGCGUAACGCGUAUGCAAUCUACCUUUUACAGAGGGAUAGCCCAGAGAAAUUUGGAUUAAUACCUCAUAGUGUUAUUGGAUGGCAUCAUUUGAUAACUAAAGUUCCAACGGUAAAGAUGAGCAUGCGUCCUAUUAGCUAGUUGGUGUGGUAACGGCACACCAAGGCUACGAUAGGUAGGGGUCCUGAGAGGGAGAUCCCCCACACUGGUACUGAGACACGGACCAGACUCCUACGGGAGGCAGCAGUGAGGAAUAUUGGACAAUGGGCGCAAGCCUGAUCCAGCCAUGCCGCGUGCAGGAAGACGCA
rnacentral:rRNA from 1 species